rnacentral:rRNA from 1 species
UGGGGAAUUUUGGGCAAUGGGCGAAAGCCUGACCCAGCAACGCCGCGUGAAGGAUGAAGUCUCUCGGGAUGUAAACUUCGUAAGAAUAGGAAGAAUAAAUGACGGUACUAUUUGUAAGGUCCGGCUAACUACGUGCCAGCAGCCGCGGUAAUACGUAGGGACCAAGCGUUGUUCGGAAUCACUGGGCGUAAAGCGCACGUAGGCGGAUAGUUAAGUCAGGGGUGAAAUCCUGGGGCUCAACCCCAGAACUGCCUUUGAUACUGGCUGUCUCGAGGUCGAGAGAGGUUGGUGGAAUUCCUAGUGUAGAGGUGAAAUUCGUAGAUAUUAGGAAGAACACCAGUGGCGAAGGCGGCCAACUGGCUCGAUACUGACGCUGAGGUGCGAAAGCGUGGGGAGCAAACAGGAUUAGAUACCCCAGUAGUCCCUGAGCGGGCUGGCAAGGCGCAU